CUCCCGGAUAAAAAAAAAAAGAGUCGGCGGUCCGCAUGGAAACGCAGCUCCGAGGAUUUAAGGGGCAGUAAAUACAAUCUGAUUUACAAACUCGCCGGACAAUUGGAAGCGCUGUAUUGGUUUUCAUUAUGAACGCCAGGAGCAAAGGACAAACAACAGUUUAGAGAGAAAGAGAGAGACAAGGAUUUAAGUGGAACGACUCCGGGUGCCGCUCCAGCUGCUGCGGACUUGCAGAGAAAAGGAAGUCGCACUGUUUGAUUGGGAAUCAUUGGGAAUCGCGCCCUCUCUUCUCCCUCACACGCGCUCUCAUACAGAUAAUAACGAUUUUUGAAUAUUUGUAAUGCGUUGUGAACAAUUAAAAUUAUUCUCCACUGGACUUGUAUUUUCCUGGCAUGUUUGCUGAUUUCACAGAGGGGAGUACCUACACCUUCCUGACUCUUGAUGUUACUGCUUUUAUGUGUAUUUAUAAUGCGCUUUUCUGGAGACAGCAGAACCUGCUGCAGAGUAGCAGCCACUGAGGAGAUUCGCGGGAGGAGAAGCGGCAUUUAAGGAAGCAGGGUGAAUUUCAAAAGCACAGGACAACUGGAAGCCAUACAAAGACUCUCUGAGUAUAUGCGCGUGUUGGUUGCAUCCCUGUGGAGGAUACCUCCCUAAGGCUGCUUCUGCAGUGAAUCGACAACAUGGAGACAUGCAGAGGAGCUGAAGCACUGGGAAGUGCAGUACUGGGAUCACUGGGGGCUGCUGGGAGCCAUGACAACCCU